rnacentral:piRNA from 1 species
UAGCAGUAUCAGGGUCACCAAAGAU